rnacentral:rRNA from 1 species
UACGUAGGGUGCAAGCGUUGUCCGGAAUUAUUGGGCGUAAAGAGCUCGUAGGCGGUUUGUCGCGUCUGCUGUGAAAACCCGAGGCUCAACCUCGGGCCUGCAGUGGGUACGGGCAGACUAGAGUGCGGUAGGGGAGAUUGGAAUUCCUGGUGUAGCGGUGGAAUGCGCAGAUAUCAGGAGGAGCACCGGUGGCGAAGGCGGGUCUCUGGGCCGAUACUGACGCUGAGGAGCGAAAGCGUGGGGAGCGAACAGG